rnacentral:rRNA from 1 species
AAUGAACGCUGGCGGCAGGCCUAACACAUGCAAGUCGAACGGAUCCUUCGGGAUUAGUGGCGGACGGGUGAGUAACGCGUGGGAACAUACCCUUUGGUACGGAAUAGCCUCGGGAAACUGGGAGUAAUACCGUAUGUGCUCUUCGGAGGAAAGAUUUAUCGCCAAAGGAUUGGCCCGCGUUGGAUUAGGUAGUUGGUGGGGUAAUGGCCUACCAAGCCGACGAUCCAUAGCUGGUUUGAGAGGAUGAUCAGCCACACUGGGACUGAGACACGGCCCAGACUCCUACGGGAGGCAGCAGUGGGGAAUCUUAGACAAUGGGGGAAACCCUGAUCUAGCCAUGCCGCGUGAUCGAUGAAGGCCUUAGGGUUGUAAAGAUCUUUCAGUGGGAAGAUAAUGACGGUACCCACAGAAGAAGCCCCGGCUAACUCCGUGCCAGCAGCCGCGGUAAU